UACGUAGGGUGCAAGCGUUGUCCGGAAUUAUUGGGCGUAAAGAGCUCGUAGGCGGUUUGUUGCGUCGGCUGUGAAAUCCCGGGGCUCAACCCCGGGUCUGCAUUCGAUACGGGCAGACUAGAGUUCGGUAGGGGAGUCUGGAAUUCCUGGUGUAGCGGGUGAAAUGACGCAGAUAUCAGGAGGAACACCGGUGGCGAAGGCGGGACUCUGGGCCGAUACUGACGCUGAGGAGCGAAAGCGUGGGGAGCAAACAGG
rnacentral:rRNA from 1 species